AGAAGGCAUGUGCGGACGAUGGC
rnacentral:piRNA from 1 species